rnacentral:pre_miRNA from 1 species
AGUGUAAUUGCUGGGUCAUAUGGUAACUGUUUAAUUUUUUGAGGAACUACCAAACUAUUUUCCAAAGUGGCUGCACUAUUUUACAUUUCUGCCAGCAGU